UAACGCGAAGAACCUUACCAAGGCUUGACAUACACCGGAAAACCCUGGAGACAGGGUCCCCCUUGUGGUCGGUGUACAGGUGGUGCAUGGCUGUCGUCAGCUCGUGUCGUGAGAUGUUGGGUUAAGUCCCGCAACGAGCGCAACCCUUGUCCCGUGUUGCCAGCAGGCCCUUGUGGUGCUGGGGACUCACGGGAGACCGCCGGGGUCAACUCGGAGGAAGGUGGGGACGACGUCAAGUCAUCAUGCCCCUUAUGUCUUGGGCUGCACACGUGCUACAAUGGCCGGUACAAUGAGCUGCGAUACCGCGAGGUGGAGCGAAUCUCAAAAAGCCGGUCUCAGUUCGGAUUGGGGUCUGCAACUCGACCCCAUGAAGUCGGAGUCGCUAGUAAUCGCAGAUCAGCAUGCUGCGGAAA
rnacentral:rRNA from 1 species